CCUGCCUCCCCUCUCUCAUUACAGCUGUUGAGGUAUGAGACAACAGAAGCGCGGCCGCAACAAUGGAGCCGAAGUCCGCACAGCCAAUCGGUACGUUCGCUGCAGCGUUCGGCCCCGGCGACAGCAGCUCCUGACUCGUUCUCAAAGACUCCCAGUCAUCUCUCCCGUUUCCCGUCUGCACUCUGAAGCUUCUCCUUCAUCCCGACAGUCGGGGCAGGUACCGCUAAUGCAUUAGUGGGCCUCAGACGGGAGCGGUAGACACUUGAAUGAUCUAAUUAUCAGUCAUAUUGGAUUAGUUGGAGGACUCAGAAGGGGAGACGAGACGAGAAGAGCCUCCUCCAACGUCCUCUUGAAUCGCAGUUUGAACUCUGGCUGUUGUUUUCUCAGAGAAACAAGGCGGGUGACGAGAGGAAAACUCUUAUAUUGUUACUAUAACGUGAUAUAGUUUGUGAUUUAUUGGUAAGAUAUGUUUGCGUUCGCAUCCAUAAAGAAAUCUGGAUGGUGAGGAAUCAUGCUCAUCACUUCUGGACUGCCCCAGAGAGUCAACAUCAGUACUGAAUUACUGCCAGAAUGAUAAGCUGAUUAAUCGAUGAGUCAAUUGGCUACUUUAAUAAUUGAUGAAUCUUUAAAGUCAUUUACCAAGCAUGAAUAUAUAAAAUAUCAACCAGUUCCAACUCCUGCAUUCUGAGGAUUUUCUGAUUUCCUCUGUUACAGUAAUCUGAACAAGUGCCAAAAAGAAAGAAAAAAAUUGAGUUCAAUGAAGUUUUGUUCAUCUGUUCAAUCGGCAGAUUCAUCAAGAGCAAAAAUAACUGAACACUACAACACACAUUUAAAACAUUCAAAUAUUUAGAGGUUCAUGUUCACAUCUAAAAGUCUAAGAGACUUAAACACUCGUGUCGAUUGGUGUAUGACGGAAGUAGCUCAUAAGUCUGCAGCAGGUUUAAGUUUUAAACUGAGACAGGACGACCUCUGGUUGAGUUUCAACAAACAGGAUCUAGUGUACAGGAAACAGCAGAUACGUUCCUAUAAUACAGGUAGAAUUUAAAUUCAAAUCAAUAAGGUUCAAUUAUUUAUUGAAUCAACUUUACCUGCUGCAAUUUAAUCAAUAACUGCUAAAAGGAAAAGGGAAUGUGAUUUAUUUCGUUUCCCCCACAGUACUAAAUUAUUGAUGACAUUAGCAACUACAUACCAUUGUGAAGAAUUACUUAGUGCUACAGCUUCAUUUUAAAUAGUAAGGUAAUUAAAAAUGAGUGAUGUGGUUUAUAGUAAUCUGUGAAACAUAAUGUGAGAUGAUUUAGCAAAAAACAGAAACAAGUGAUUUCCAAAUGUAAACUUUAUGAAAACAGUGAAAAAGACGGAGAGGCUGUUUAACCAUCAGGUCAAUAAAGUAGGAUGUAUUGAACUCACAAGUUUGGUUGAAGACUCUUCUGUCAUGGAGGUGAAGCAGCCACAUCAUGAAAUGUCCAGGUGAACUCUGUUAGCAGGUUGGCAAUCUGCUCCAAGCUAACAAACACGGUUAGCUAAAAAAAAACAACAGUUAGCAGGCAUCCAAACACUGUUAGCUAGCUAACACAUAACAAACAGGGGUAGCAACAAAAAAAAAACUGUUAGCUAGCCACCAAACACAAUGAGCUAGCAAACAGCUAACAAACAUUAUUAGCUAGCCACCAAACAAAAUGAGCUAGCAAACAGCUAACAAACACUAUUAGCUAGCCACCAAACACAAUGAGCUAGCAGACAGCUAACAAACACUAUUAGCUGGCCUCCAAACACAAUGAGCUAGCAAACAGCUAACGAACACUAUUAGCUAGCCACCAAACACAAUGAGCUAGCAAACAGCUAAAGAACACUAUUAGCUAGCCACCAAACACAAUAGGCUAGCAAACAGCUAACGAACACUAUUAGCUAGCCACCAAACACAAUGAGCUAGCAAACAGCUAACGAACACUAUUAGCUAGCCACCAAACACACUGGGCUAGCAAACAGC